AGCUGGAUCGGGAGCGACGGAGGAGGAGACAACCCAGCUCGUCACCGCAAUUGAGCCGCCGGAGGAGAUACAGUAUUUGCCGGAAAGGCCGCACAGCCUCGGAGCUAGAUGAAUAGGAGAUGCUAGGAACAAGGAGCGUGACAAGCCUCAGGGUUAUGGGAAUAAUAAAAUAUUAAAUGAUGAUAUUGUUUUUAGAAGCUAUGUAUGGAUUUUAAUACCUGAACAUUUAAUGACUUUCAUGAAUAUAGUUGUUUAGUAAUUGAAGUUUUAAAGA